ensembl:lncRNA
AAAAUAUACAAUACUAUAAUAAAAAAAAGGAUGAGGAAAAAACUAACAAAGAUAGCCUUUUUAAUAGCACAGGUAUAGAUAUUAUGAAUGUAAGAGAGAAUUAUGAUGAUAUAGCUAGACAAAUAGAUGGAGUGGGGCUAUAUGAAAAGUAUGACAAUAGUAGCAGUAGUAGUAAAAAACAAAACGAUAUUAUUGUCUUAAAUAAAGACAAAGGUGCUUCUAUUCAUCAACAAGUGUCAAACAAAUUAGUAGAAUAUACAAAUGAAGAAAUUAAUAAAAUGAGUGAAUUGCAAGUAAAAGAUGAACUCAGAAAAAGAGGUUACCCUGUAUUUGGAACCAUAGAAGAAAUAAAAAUGAGAUUAUCUAAUGUUAUGAAAAUUAGAGAAAAACAUAAUUUAGAUAUACAGGGAAUUUUAAAACAACCUGAGAAACAUAUAUUAUCAAGUUUACGUCUGGAUAAAUUAAAAGAAAGUAUACAAGAGUAUAAAGAAAACGAACAAGCUUCUGACACUGAAUCUAAAAUAAGACAACUAGAUGCAGGUAUUGAAAUUGAAAAUUUUUUAGAUGACCCAGUUAAUUAUUUAAGAGUAGAUACAACACAUAAACUGGCUCAAAUAAGUGAGUUGCCAUAUGGGGCGGGAAAUAUCAAUAGUGGUGGUGUACGUGAUAGUAGCAGUGGUGUUAGUGACAGUAGCAGUGGUGUUAGUGACAGUAGCAGUGGUGUACGUGACAGUAGCAGUCGUGUUAGUGACAGUAGCAGUAGUGUAAGUAACAGUAGCAGUAAUGUAAGUAACAUACAAUCCCAAACGGAUAAUAAUAACAGUGGUACAGAAUUAGACAACGAAGAAAUUAAUAAAAUUCCCAUAAUCAAUGACUAUAAUUUUGAAAAAGAAAUAAUGAUGGCAGAUAAAUUAACAAAAACUUUUAAUUUUUAUUCGGAUGGGCCAGAGGCACCUAAAAGCGUCGUUCAAUAUAAUGAGUUUGACGAUAAUAUAAAUGAAGAGAAAUACAGAAAAGAGGUACUAAAGUAUGGUGCUCUCGUAGAAACCGUAAACGAAUUUUAUAUAAAGCAUCAGCUUAACCUGGACUUCAUUGGAGAUUUUAUUUGUAAAGUUACAGAUGCUGACAUAAGUGAAACAAAUAAAUAUAAACGUAAAACAAAAGAUGAAAUAGAAAAACGAGUACAGAAUAAUGAUUAUGACUUAUUACUUUUUGAUGAUGAUAAUAAUAUAAAUGAUAAUUUUAUUGUUUAUAAUUUUGUUAAUCCAAAUCAGUUAAUUAAAAAAUAUCUAUCAACAAAAAAUAUUACGAUGUUAAUUGAAUAUUCAAAUAUAGCUGACCCUGUAGAUAUAAAUCAUUAUUAUGCACCAGAGACGUUAUACAUGCUUAGUCAUGAGUAUAAUAUUACUAUUGAUAAAAUUAUAGAAGCCUGUACACAGCUAAAUAUAAAAUUACCUUAUGGUGGUGAUACACAUUUGAAUAUGCCUUGCUUUAAUAUGUUAACGUCUUACUUGAAUAAUCAUUUCAGAGUAUCUACGGGCUCUUCCGUUCGUGUCUGAUCAGGCAUAUCGGGAAAAAAAGAAAAAAAAAAAAAAAAAAAAAAAAAGAGAGUAAAAGAAAAGAAAAAAAAAGAGAGAGUAAAAGCAAAUCCGUUAAUACGGACAUGCCUUUAUUCGGUUAUUUAGUUAGUUAUUUUGUUAGUUAAUAUGUCAGUUUUUUUUUUUUUUUUGUUUAUUCCCCAUUUUUUUUUGUACAUUUUUUCUAUUCAACUUUUACGAAAUUUAUAUAUACAUAUAGUUUUUUUUACCACUUAACAACUCAACGACUUAACGAC